AGGAUUCCCCAGUAGCUGCGAGCGAACAGGGAAGAGCCCAGCACCGAAUCCCGCGGCCGAUAUCGGACGCCGGGAAAUGUGGUGUUAGGGAGGGUCCGUUUAUCCCGAGGUCGUGCGGUGCGUCCAAGUCCUUCUUGAACGGGGCCACAGCCCAUAGAGGGUGCCAGGCCCGUAGCGACCGCUGCCGAUCGCGGGAGGAUCUCUCCUCAGAGUCGGGUUGCUUGAGAGUGCAGCCCUAAGUGGGUGGUAAACUCCAUCUAAGGCUAAAUAUGACCACGAGACCGAUAGCGAACAAGUACCGUGAGGGAAAGUUGAAAAGCACUUUGAAGAGAGAGUUCAAGAGUACGUGAAACCGUUCAGGGGUAAACCUGAGAAGCCCGAAAGGUCGAAAGGGGAAAUUCAUUCGCGUUUCGGCCGUCGAAGUGGGAUGGUCGAGUGACGGAUGGCGUACGCGUCGUCCGCGCCUUCCGUUCUUCGAAUCGGCGUCGAACGCGUGCACUUUUCCCCUAGUAGGACGUCGCGAUCCGUUGGGUGUCGGUCUACGGUUCGCGGUGGUGCCCGUGUGGUCGCUUCGCGGCGUAUCACACGGACCCGCGGUGUCCCGGCCGACUCGCUCGACGGUAUACAGAUGGCGCGGGGUCGCUGCUAAACAUUCAGUUAGCGUUCGAUCCGUGGCAAGCGCGUUCGGAGCGAUGGCGAUCGGACCUGGUGCCGGUCCCGUCCACGAACGACUGUUGGCUACGGUCUAUUCUCUCGAACAGACCUCGUUCGAAACGCCGAUCUGCGACGCUAUAGCUUUGGGUACUUUCAGGACCCGUCUUGAAACACGGACCAAGGAGUCUAGCAUGUGCGCGAGUCAUUGGGACAUAACUAAACCUAAAGGCGUAAUGAAAGUGAAGGUCCGCCUUGCGCGGAUCGAGGGAGGAUGGGCGGCGUCCGCCUUCAAAAGCGACCGCUCCGCACUCCCGGGGCGUCUCGUUCUCAUCGCGAGAAGAGGCGCACCAAGAGCGUACACGCUGGGACCCGAAAGAUGGUGAACUAUGCCUGGUCAGGACGAAGUCAGGGGAAACCCUGAUGGAGGUCCGUAGCGAUUCUGACGUGCAAAUCGAUCGUCGGAACUGGGUAUAGGGGCGAAAGACUAAUCGAACCAUCUAGUAGCUGGUUCCCUCCGAAGUUUCCCUCAGGAUAGCUGGCGCUCGUAGCGCACGAGUUUCAUCCGGUAAAGCGAAUGAUUAGAGGCAUUGGGGUCGAAACGACCUCAACCUAUUCUCAAACUUUAAAUGGGUGAGAUCUCCGGCUUGCUCGAAUAGCGCGUUCGCGCGCCCCCCUGUGAAGCCGGAGACUCGA
rnacentral:rRNA from 1 species